CAGUAUCUUUGAUGAAGGGCCAGAAUCUGAUCAACGCUGCUAUGGGGCUCUGACAAAGACUUCACCUCUUGCCUGCUCACCAACUGUCGUUGAUGGGGAGAACAGAAUUAGACACCUGUAUGGAACCAGCACU
rnacentral:lncRNA from 13 species